rnacentral:miRNA from 1 species
UUCCAGUCGAAGAGGCUGCAAAACCUCUUUGAAUGGAAGGAAUCCUUCCGCUCAAAGAGGUUUUGUAACCUCUUUGACUGGAAGGCCUUCAAAGAGGUUUUGUAACCCCUUUGACCGGAAGGAUUCCUUCCAGUCAAAGAGGUUGUAACCUCUUCAACUGGAA